CCCUUAGAUGUUCUGGGCCGCACGCGCGCUACACUGAUGCAUUCAACGAGUUUCUUCCUGGUCCGAGAGGAAUGGGUAACCUUUUGAAAGUGCAUCGUGACAGGGAUAGACUAUUGCAAUUAUUGGUCUUCAACGAGGAAUUCCUAGUAGACGUAGUUCAUCAGACUGCAUCGAUUACGUCCCUGCCCUUUGUACACACCGCCCGUCGCUCCUACCGAUUGAAUGCUCAGGUGAGCCAUUCGGACUUUCAUCAUGCUGGUUUCCAGUUUUGAUGAAGGAAAGUCUUGCGAACCUUAUCAUUUAGAGGAAGGAGAAGUCGUAACA
rnacentral:rRNA from 1 species